rnacentral:lncRNA from 1 species
ACCUCUCUGGAGUGUGUACAUCAUGUCAUGUCUGUGUGAAAUCAGCUGGGCUGGUGGCAUUCACACCACAGCAAUUGGCAAAUGCUGCGAAUCAGGGUUCCCUGACUUAAAAGCCGGCUGUUGAACACUGGCCUGCACACCACUGCGUCUUCCCAGAGUAGUAUCAGCUGAGCCUCUUGAUUUUGUGGAAGGAAAGCUGAAGCAGCAUGAGAAGUUCAAGUUCAGUGUAAAACCUGCCUGUGACCAUUUCAAGAUCACCAUAGUGUUGGAGUAAGUGCCAUCGAGUGAGAGCUCCAGGUAAGCCUGGUAGCACGCAGCCCACUCACUGGCCCCGAUGCUGGGAGAUGUUCACUCCCUUUCCAGAUGAGAGACCAAAGGUUUGGAAAGUUGAGCCAACCCAAUGUCAACAGGCAGAGGUUGCAAGAAUGUGAUCCCUGAUUUCAAGCUCUCCUUGUUUAA